AUAUCAAUAAGCGGAGGAAAAGAAACCAACAGGGAUUGCCCCAGUAACGGCGAGUGAAGCGGCAACAGCUCAAAUUUGAAAUCUGGCCCCCAGGGCCCGAGUUGUAAUUUGCAGAGGAUGCUUUUGGCGCGGUGCCUUCCGAGUUCCCUGGAACGGGACGCCAUAGAGGGUGAGAGCCCCGUCUGGUCGGACACCAAGCCAGUGUAAAGCUCCUUCGACGAGUCGAGUAGUUUGGGAAUGCUGCUCUAAAUGGGAGGUAUAUGUCUUCUAAAGCUAAAUACCGGCCAGAGACCGAUAGCGCACAAGUAGAGUGAUCGAAAGAUGAAAAGCACUUUGAAAAGAGGGUUAAACAGUACGUGAAAUUGUUGAAAGGGAAGCGUUUAUGACCAGACUUGGGCCCGGUGAAUCAUCCAGCGUUCUCGCUGGUGCACUUCGCCGGGCCCAGGCCAGCAUCAGUUCGCCGCGGGGGAUAAAAGCUUCGGGAACGUGGCUCCCUCGGGAGUGUUAUAGCCCGUUGCAUAAUACCCUGUGGCGGACUGAGGUUCGCGCUCCGCAAGGAUGCUGGCGUAAUGGUCAUCAGCGA
rnacentral:rRNA from 1 species